UACGUAGGGCGCAAGCGUUAUCCGGAAUUAUUGGGCGUAAAGAGCUCGUAGGCGGUUUGUCGCGUCUGCCGUGAAAAGUCCGGGGGCUCAACUCCGGAUCUGCGGUGGGUACGGGGCAGACUAGAGUGAUGUAGGGGAGACUGGAAUUCCUGGUGUAGCGGUGGAAUGCGCAGAUAUCAGGAGGAACACCGAUGGCGAAGGCAGAUCUCUGGGCCGUAACUGACGCUGAGGAGCGAAAGCAUGGGAGCGAACAGG
rnacentral:rRNA from 1 species